rnacentral:rRNA from 1 species
AACGAACGCUGGCGGCAUGCUUAACACAUGCAAGUCGAACGAGACCUUCGGGUCUAGUGGCGCACGGGUGCGUAACGCGGGGGAACCUGCCCUUAGGUUCGGAAUAACUCCCCGAAAGGGGUGCUAAUACCGGAUAAUGUCUUCGGACAAAAGAUUUAUCGCUUUUGGAUGGGCCUGGGUUGGGUUAGCUUGUUGGUAGGGUAAAGGCCUACCAUGGCUACGAUGCAUAGCUGGUGGCAGAGGGUGAACGGCCACACUGGGACUGAGAUACGGCCCAGACCCCGACGGGAGGCAGCGGUGGCGAAGGUUGCACAAGGGGAGGAGGCGAAAGCCAGCAACGCCGCGGCCGGGAUGACGGCCAACGGUUUGUAUUUGGAAUUCUCCUGUGCCGAGGCGUGAAUGACGGUAACGGGUAAAGAAGCCCCGGCUAACUACGUG